UGAUACAAAACAACAAAUCAAUAGCAAAAGUAGAAGUUUUGACAUUCUUCAUACUCCGCACUAAUACAUGUCAUAAUCGUACUUGCCUCAGGAGCCACCUCAGACAUGUGUGAUUCAUGACGAUCAGACUACGACCAUCACUAUAUUGAUGCACCAAUGGCAUACGGUGUAUUAGUAUAUUAUGUCGUGAGAUCAAUUUUAGGAUUGGGUCUAACAAAUAUAUCAAAUUGAUAUACAAAUACAUAGGAUCGAAUACCUUGGUCCAUUUCCUGUGGAGUCUCAUUUUCUUCUCUUGUGGUAGAACUNNNNNNNNNNNNNNNNNNNNCUUUUUACAAAUUGGAUCAAGGUUUUUCUUUCUCUCAUCUACCUGUUUGCUUCUUGUUUUGCCCAUUGACUAUUAGAGGCAUAAGACAUGCAUUCGUUUCAAGUUUUUAGUUGUCUAGAAUUCUAAAUUCAUAUUGAUGUGGCAGGUGUUCAUGAGUUGAAUAGCAUCAAUUCAUAUUGUAAAUUUAUGUUUUUUAUUGAUAAUACUUCUCACAUUGAAGUAUAAAAGAUGAGAGAUCCCCAGGAAUCUCUGAGUUGAUAGGCUUUUUAUUUAUUGAUAACACUUCUGGCAUUGGAAGGACAUGAAACAAAGUGUCUAGAGUCACAACGGACAUUGAAAGGAACAUAUGCAUCGAUUAUUAUCACAAACACCGUCUCCAGUAUAAGUUCUAGUGCAUCCCUCCGCACAAUUUGAAUCGGUACAUGGGCUGUCUAAGACAACUUUGCAGAUACGAUCAGGUUGUUGUGCCUCAACCACAACAUCAGCUGUUGCAAAGGUAAAUGCAUAAGUAAGGCGACCGUUACGUUUUUAUCUAGAUAUUAUAUGCAAUCAAACAGAAGUUUUUAUAUUGUUGAUAAUAGCAUGAGGUAAUACUGUCACAUGAGUUGUUUAAGUUAGGUGACAAUUACAUUUUUAUCUAGAUAUUAUAUGUAAUCAAACAUGAGUUUUUAUAUUGUUGAUAAUAGCAUGAGGUAAUACUAUCACAUGUGUUGUUAAUCUUAUGCUGAAUUCUGUCCUCUCGUUAAGACACCCAAAUAUAUAUCGCACCUAUUUUAGAAACCAUGAAUUAGAAUCACUUUUUGUGGAGUUUGAUGUGGUAGGAGAAAGCUAGGAGAAAAUGCAAUUUUAUUUUUAUUUUUGCACCUUGAUAUGAUGAAGCCAAAUCUCAAGAGAAAAAAAAAAAGGUAGGUUGGUUGAAGCCAAAGAACCUGUACACAAAAAUUGUACCUUUUUUUUUCUUACCCAAUGCAUAUUGAUGAUGAGUUGGUUUAAUCUUUUACUAUGACUUGGUAUUGACUAUUGAGAAUUAAUUAAAAUUACCAACAUGAUUAACCAACCCAUGAAUACCUCAAAGAGUAUGGUUGUUUAGAUAUUUAUUUAGCAUGAACUAAAGACUUUUGUUUAGACCAUCAUAUCAAAUGCCCUCUUAAUAACAAUUCAAGAAAAGAAAAUCAUAUUGAAAUAAGAACUCUAUUUUGACCCCACUUUUCUCAUAAAAUAUGGUUCAAUCAAAAUCUAUAAUACCUGACUUGUCGGAAUUUUAUGAUUUUUUAUUUGUCAAAGUUGGCUUGCAAAUGAGAGCAAAUUAGAGAAGAAAAGACAUGCAUGUUCGAGCUUACUUGUAAAAAGGACGAGAAGAAGGAUAACACACGCGAUCUUCGCCCCCAUGAUAAAGAAGGUUAGAAGGUUCCUGUUCACCAAAUUAUACAUUUGAUGGUGACUACAAUGUGAAGUUUAUAUAGAGGAGCUUCAUCACCCGUAUCAAUUGAAUUCAUCCCCCUUGAUAAAUAAGAUUUGGUAGUGGAUGCCAUAUUUUCUAGCACAUUAAGGGGGUUUAUCAACACUAUACAAUUGAAACAUUUAUAAUUUUCAGGUAUCAAAUCAUGGAAACACCCAAGAAUUCCAUGGAUCAAUUAAACAAACUACAAUGUAUAUAUAUAUGUGCAUAUACCUAUGCAUGGUUCGUCAUACCGACCCAUACCAUCUGGUAUGGGCGAUAUGUACUGGAUCAAUAGGGGAUCGAUAUGCAUACUAUCUUGUAUUGUGCGGUACUAUAACAUGACCCCAUAUCGGGCGAUACGAGAUAUGUACCAGGUAGUAACGAUCGAAAUCCAAUCGUUACCAACCUAUACCGAUCGGUAGCAAUAAGAUUUCAACCAUUACAAAUCAAGGGCUGAUAUCGUUCUAUUUCAAAUGGUCAAAUUAAUCGUUUGAAUCAUAGUAAAGAGAUUUUAAACCCUUUUCUCCCCUCUUUUUUAACUCAUAUCACUCUCUCAAUCUCUUUAGCUCUCUAAAACUCAUUUUCACUUGCAUCUCUCUCUCAUUCCUAUAUUUUCACUCUCUUAAACUCAACAAGGCUACAAUUUAUGGAUUGAAUCAAAUUUAAAACGAUUAAGAGGAAGAUUCUCGGUUAGAAUGUGGUGGAAGGAGCCGGACAAAAUCAAGUCAAAUUGCUCGAGGAACUAUAGACACCAAACUAUCAUAAUCAUCUGCCCAACAUGCAAAGGCAAAGGCAAAGUGGAAGGCAGUAGCAUCAAUUGCACCGUUAUAAUCGAGUCGAGCGACGAAACACCUUCUAAAUCGCAUUUAACAACCUGCUCAGUCUAAAGAAAUGACAACGACGUGAACAGUAGUGCCUUAACCGAUGAUGGCGACGACGUUGGGGAGUCGAUGGUCCUAUCUCCAUAAUUUGAGGGUGGUGCAUGGACCGAGAAGCAGUAUUUUACAUAUGCUACCUAAGAUUCAUAUCAUGGAACUCGACGAGAUAUUGGUCAAGUUUAUAUAUGGGAAGGGAAGGUAGUGGAUGAUUUUAAGCAGAUGCAACAAAACCUACACCACGUAAAUACAAAACGAAGCUCAUUGUAUUCACAACCGUCGUAUAAUGGAGAAUCUUAUGCCCAACCACAAUACGGUGGUAGUUGGUCAUACUUCUCAAAGUAGUAGUGCAUUGAUCGAUCUUAUGAUACAGAACAACAGAUCAAUGGCAAAAGUAUAAGUUUUGGCAUUCUUCAUGCUCCGCACUAAUACAUGUCAUAAUCGUACUUGUCUUUGGAGCCACCUCAGACACGUGUGAUUCAUGACGAUCAGACUACGACUAUCACUACAUUGAUGCACCAAUGACAUACGGUGUAUCAGUAUAUUAUGUCGUGGGAUCAAUUUCAGGAUUGGGUUUGAUAAACAAAUCAAAUUGAUAUACAGUUACAUAGGAUCGAGAACCUCGAUCCACUGCUCGUGGAGUCUCAUUGUUGUUUCUUUGUGGUAGAAUCAAAUAUAUUAAUCGAUCGAUUACUUGAUUCAUUUGAAUCUUAAAGUUUAAGUUGCAAAAAUAAAAUAAAAAUUUAAAUUAUUUUUUUUGUAAAUAAUUUAGUAUUAAUAAAAGGGUGGUCCGGAACAUAUCAUAAAGCUAUUUCUCAAAACCUGAAAAAGAUAUGCCACUACUCUUUUCUAAUUUAGAUUAUUUUUAUAAAAAUUAUACUAAAAUUAUAUUUAUUUCUAACGAUGAAAAUCCUAAUCUAAUUUUUUUCUAUUUUUCAAGUAUUUUUGGAGUUAUUUUUUAUGGUUUUUGGGUGUACUGUCGUUAUGCCCUUACGUACCAUCGGUACACCUUAGUACGUACCGUAUUGAUGUUUGGUCGGUACACUAGUACAAACUGAGACUGUAAACCUUAUAUAUAUAUAUAUGUAUAUAUAUAUAUAUAUGUAUAUAUAUAUAUAUAUUUAUAUGUAUUUGUAUAUAUUUAUAUGUAUUUGUAUAUGUAUAUGUUUAUGUAUUUAUAUAUACGUAUACAUAUAUAUACACAUACAUAUACAUAUACAUAUAUAUACAUAUACAAAUACAUAUAAAUAUUUAUAAAUACAUAUAUAUAUAUAUAUAUAUACAUUUACAUAUUUAUAUUUAUAUAUGACUUCAGUACACUGAACCUAGUGGAUGCAUCUAGAAAGAUUCGUAUCAAUAGAUUUAUCUUUAUAUAUAUAUGUAUAUAUAUAUAUGUAUGUAUGUAUAUAUAUAUUUAUAUUUAUAUUUAUAUUUAUAUAUGUAUAUAUAUAUGACUUCGGUACAAUGAACCUAGUUGAUGUAUCUAGAAAGAUUCGUAUCAAUAGAUUUAUAUAUAUAUAUAUAUAUAUAUAUAUAUAUAUAUAUAUGUGUGUGUGUGUGUGUGUGUGUGUGUGUAUGUGUAUAUAUGUAUAUGUAUAUAUAUAUGUAUAUAUAUAUAUACACAUAUCACGACUUCAGUACAGUGAACCAUAGUGGAUGCAUCUUGAAAGAUUCGUAUCAAUAGAUUCAUCUUUGUCGAAAUUCGACCGUUACCGACUUGUACCAAUCAGUAAUAGUCGGAUUUUGACCGUUGCGGAUAAGGGCUUAUAUCGCCCUAUUUCAAACAAUCAAAUUGACCAUUUGAAUCAUAGGAAAGAGAUUUUAAACCCUUUCCUCCCUCAUCUUUCAACUCAUAUCACUCAAUCUUUUUAGCUUUUUAAAAGAUAUGUCACUACUCUUUCCUAAUUUAGAUUAUUUUUGCUAAAAUUAUACUAAAUUUAUAUUAUUUCUAACUUAAAAACGCUAAUCAAAUUAUUAUUAUUAUUUUUCAAGUAUUUUUGGAGCUAUUUUUGAUGGUUUUGGGUAUACUAUCAGUAUGCCCUUGUGUAACAUCGGUACGUCUUGGUACGUACCGUAUGUCGAUACACUGGUACAGACCAAGAUUGCAUAUCUUGUAUAUAUGUAUAUAUAUAUGUAUAUAUAUGUAUAUACAUAUAUAUAUAUAUGUAUAUAUAUACAUAUCCAUAUAUGUAUGUAUAUGUAUACAUAUCCAUAUAUGUAUAUAUAUAUAUAUAUAUGUAUAUAUAUAUAUAUAUAUACAUAUAUAUAUAUAUAUACAUAUAUAUAUAUAUAUAUACACGACAUCGGUACAGUGAACCUAGUGGAUGAAUGUGGAAAGAUUCGUAUCAAUAAAUUCAUCUUUGUCGAAAUCUGAUCGUUACCAACUUGUGCCGAUAAGUAAUAAUCGAGUUUUGACCGUUACGGAUCAAGGGCUGAGAUCGUCCUAUUUAAAAUGGUCAAUUUAUAGGAAAGGGAUUUUAAACCCUUUCCUCCCCCCUCUUUUAACUCAUAUCACUCUCUCAAUCUCUUCAGCUCUUUAAAACUCAUUUUCAUUCGUAUCUCUCUCUCAUUCUCACAUUUUCAUUCUCCUACAUUCAACAAGGCUACGAUUUAUGGAUUGGAUUAAAUUUGGGAUGAUUAAGAAGAAGAUCCCUCUCGGUUAGAAUGUGGCGAAAAAAGUCGGACAACAUCGAGUCAAAUUAUUGAAACUGGUAUUGAUUAGGUAUGCCGAUGUUUGUGUUCGAUGCUUGAUGCAUGGACCGCAAAACAGUAUUUUACACGUCGUCUAAGAUUUAAAUCAUGGAAUUCGAUGAGGUAUUGAUUAAGUUUAUACAUGAAAGGGGGAGAGGAAGUUAGUGGAUGAUUUUGAGCAGAUGCGACAGAACUUACACUAUGCAGAUACAAAGCGAAACUUAUCAUAUUCAUAAUCGUCGUAUCAUUGAGAAUCUUUUGGCCAACAACAUUAUGGUGAUGGUCAUGCUUCACCGAGCAAUUGUACGUUGUUCGAUCUUUUGAUACAAAACAACAAAUCAAUAGCAAAAGUAGAAGUUUUGACAUUCUUCAUACUCCCCACUAAUACAUGUCAUAAUCGUACUUGCCUCAGGAGCCACCUCAGACACGUGUGAUUCAUGGCGAUCAGACUACGACCAUCACUAUAUUGAUGCACCAUGGCAUACGGUGUAUUAGUAUAUUAUGUCGUGAGAUCAAUUUUAGGAUUGGGUCUAACAAAUAUAUCAAAUUGAUAUACAGAUACAUAGGAUCGAGGACCUUGGUCCAUUUCCUGUGGAGUCUCUUUUUCUUCUCUUGUGGUAGAACCNN
rnacentral:lncRNA from 1 species